GGACAGCCUGCCGUCUCCUUCAGCUGAACAGUCUGCUUCUCUAACACCAACCAUGCGACUUCUGACGUUUUUCUUUCCUUCUCAAGGGGGCGGCCGGCCGGACCUGAGUUUGGUAACUUUCUGAUCAGCAAAAUACCCAGAUUAGAGGAUUGGAACUUUCAGCCCUACACACCAGCCUCCAGGAAAGAUGUAGGGGAUGUUGGAGAUUGAACUCUACAGGAACUCUUAAACCAUGAGAUCCAGAGAAUUUCUAGGUUGGUGAAUAGACACGCUGACCUGCUGAGAGGGUGGCAUGCUCGGAGAGAGCAUGGAAGCUCCCCGUCACCCCGAUGCAUGUCCUCCACCUGGCUGUUCCUGAACUGGAUCUUUUAUAAUAAAACAGUAAACAUCAA